UGCAUUUCCCCACUGCCUAAUCUGAUUCUCUAGGGUUUUUUGGGGCCUAUAUAUACAUGUUUACAACCCUUGGCAAAUGGUUGAAUCUCCCAUAUUCAUCAUUCAUGCAGAAAAUUCGUCCAUACUCACACUAGGCAGCAAAACACCCCAAAAAAACACCAUUCUAGUGCCCAGAAAACAUAACAGCCACUCCACCUUAUUCCACCAUCUUUGCCGAGUUUUCCACCACCCUCCAACCAUCAAACACUCCUCCACACUCACCCUAAACCUUUCCAUACCAUUCCCCAUCCAUUCUACACCAUAAAACCACCCAAAACAUGUCCACAACCCAAUCUGCCGCAAGCAAGGGAAAGGAGGAAUCUUGGAUGCACUUGCUGCCAAGUUGGAGCAUU
rnacentral:lncRNA from 1 species